rnacentral:rRNA from 1 species
CCCUUAGACGUUCUGGGCCGCACGCGCGCUACACUGACGGAGCCAGCGAGUAUAAACCUUGGCCGAGAGGUCUGGGAAAUCUUGUGGAACUCCGUCGUGCUGGGGAUAGAGCAUUGUAAUUAUUGCUCUUCAACGAGGAAUUCCUAGUAAGCGCAAGUCAUCAGCUUGCGUUGAUUACGUCCCUGCCCUUUGUACACACCGCCCGUCGCUACUACCGAUUGAAUGGCUUAGUGAGGCUUCCGGAUUGGUUUAGAGAAGGGGGCAACUCCAUCUUGGAACCGAGAAGCUAGUCAAACUUGGUCAUUUAGAGGAAGUAAAAGUCGUAACA